UACGUAGGGGGCUAGCGUUGUCCGGAAUCAUUGGGCGUAAAGCGCACGUAGGCGGGUCCUUAAGUCAGGGGUGAAAUCCCGGGGCUCAACUCCGGAUCUGCGGUGGGUACGGGCAGACUAGAGUGAUGUAGGGGAGACUGGAAUUCCUGGUGUAGCGGUGAAAUGCGCAGAUAUCAGGAGGAACACCGAUGGCGAAGGCAGGUCUCUGGGCAUUAACUGACGCUGAGGAGCGAAAGCAUGGGGAGCGAACAGG
rnacentral:rRNA from 1 species